rnacentral:rRNA from 1 species
AUGCACGCUGGCGGCGUGCUUAACACAUGCAAGUCGCACGAUGAUGCCCAGCUUGCUGGGUGGAUUAGUGGCGAACGGGUGAGUAACACGUGAGUAACCUGCCCUUGACUCUGGGAUAAGCCUGGGAAACUGGGUCUAAUACCGGAUACGACCAUCUGGCGCAUGUCAUGGUGGUGGAAAGCUUUUGUGGUUUUGGAUGGACUCGCGGCCUAUCAGCUUGUUGGUGGGGUAAUGGCCUACCAAGGCGACGACGGGUAGCCGGCCUGAGAGGGUGACCGGCCACACUGGGACUGAGACACGGCCCAGACUCCUACGGGAGGCAGCAGUGGGGAAUAUUGCACAAUGGGCGCAAGCCUGAUGCAGCGACGCCGCGUGAGGGAUGACGGCCUUCGGGUUGUAAACCUCUUUCAGUAGGGAAGAAGCGAAAGUGACGGUACCUGCAGAAGAAGCGCCGGCUAACUACGUG